ACUACAUGAAGCUGGAAUCGCUAGUAAUCGCGGAUCAGAAUGCCGCGGUGAAUACGUUCCCGGGUCUUGUACACACCGCCCGUCACACCAUGAGAGUUGGCAAUACCCAACGUACGUGAUCUAACCCGCAAGGGAGGAAGCGUCCUAAGGUAGGGUCAGCGAUUGGGGUGAAGUCGUAACAAGGUACC
rnacentral:rRNA from 1 species